UUGAUCAAGAUGAUGAAGGAGGAGAAAGGUUAAACCCUUUUAUAUUCUUAUUUCAUGAGACCUUAUUGACUUUUGUUUCUGUUUCCUCCUCCGGCUCUUUCCUCCCUUUUUCUAUCUUUAGAAAAAGGGAGGAAAGAGCCGGAGGAGGAAACAGAAACAAAAGUCAAUAAGGUCUCAUGAAAUAAGAAUAUAAAAGGGUUUAACCUUUCUCCUCCUUCAUCAUCUUGAUCAA
rnacentral:pre_miRNA from 1 species